AAGUCGUAACAAGGUUUCCGUAGGUGAACCUGCGGAAGGAUCAUUACCGAGUGGCGCGAAAUUCCUGUCGUGAGACGGGGGAAGCUACCCGACCUUUUGUCAUUUUGUCAAGUCUGGCUGGCGGGAUUGCAUUCGUGAGAAAGCGAAUGUGGAUUUCGGCAGACGGACCAAAACUUCGGCGGAAGAGGUAGGCGUGGACCUGCCCGCCGCCGGCCGUAGAAGACAAUAUACAUUCUUGAGAGCAAACUGAAGUCUAAGACGAUCCUUGAAAAAGGAAUACCAAAAAAAAAGCAAAACUUUCAACAACGGAUCUCUUGGCUCUG
rnacentral:misc_RNA from 1 species